ensembl:lncRNA
UGGGGGUGUUGGAGGCAGGAGGGUCAUCUCGGAGGAAUUUCCAGUCAUUCUGAGUAGGCCUCACAGAGCCAGAGAGUACUAAGGCUGUCAACAGGGAAAGGCAGGGACAUGAGACACAGUCGCUGUCGCGAGUGACACGCACACUCAGUGUGAGGAGGGCUGCAGUUGUCUCACAUACACACACACUCUCACACACACUCAACACUCUCCCAUACAUUCUCACACUCACACUCUCACACACCCACACACUCUCACACCCAUACACUGUCACAUGCACAUUUACACAUUUUUACACACUCACAUAAUUCUUUCACAUACAUUCUCACACAUCCACACACUCACACACUAUCACAUACACACUAACCCUUUCCCAUACUCACACAAUUCUCAUACACAACACUCUCACAUACAUUCUCUCUCACACACACUUACUCACACUCCCUCACACACCCACAUACCCAGUCUCACACACAUAUUCUCAUACAUUCGAACACACAUUCUCAGACACCUAUUUUCUCACACACUCAUACACUGACUCACAUAUUCCCUCACAUACCCAUACACUCACAUGCACACUUUCACCCACUCUCUCACGUACACUCUCAUACACACUCACACACUUUCACAUACUCUCUCACGUGCAGUCAUACACACAUAUUCUCACACACUCACACUCUCUCACUCACAUACACACACAUGUCAGUGUUCAAGAUGGAGGAUGACAGAUGGCCACUAAUAUGCUCCUCUACCUUCCAAGGUCUCAGAAAACCAAGUAAUCCCUGGUCUCUUUCUAUAUCCACAGAGGCUGACCUAACCUGGACAACCUCAUUCCACAUCUUGUGCCAGAAGGAUGUAGAACUCACCCUCUCAGGACCUUCUAGAAACAGCAGAAAGUUAAAAUUGCCAGAGAGAAACUCAGCCUGGAACAGCUGCAGGACACCUCUGAAUCCUGUCCUCCGCCAGUUGGUGCAACCACCACUAGCCUUACCCCUGGACUGACCACUGGGUGUCCUUCCUCAUCUAAACAAGUGAGAGGUCCCCGUCACUAAGACCCGGUUCCAUUUCUCAGCCUACUUUUUGUCUCUGAGACUCGGAAGGGAAGGGGACAUUUGGGGGUGAGCCACGUGAUGUAACUCAUCCAGGACAGGUGAGAGGAAGAUGAAAGGAGAUGUUCUGCUGCCGGUUGAAACAUCAGUGACUAAGACCUGGGGAAUGGACCAAGAACAUUCUCACCUCUCAGUUGUGGGCUCCUGAAAGGGCACUGCCUCAUCCCAUCCUCCUGUCGUACGGGCUUCCAGCUUCACGUUCUCACGUCCUCAUAAUCUCAUCAGUAUGUUAUAGAAACCCAACUCAAGUCACUUAAGCAAAAGAGGAACUUAUGGCUCACCUUUGUGACUCAGCUCAGAGCAGCUGACAGAACUGCAUAAGGAGCUAUUAAAUAGGAAUCUGGAUUUAGGGACCAAAGUUGGCCCCAAGUGUGCCAGGAUUGUCUCUCUGUCCACCCGACUUUCAUUUCUGCACAUUUUUGCAUGUUGACCUAACUCUUGUCUGCCGCAGAUAAGGGACAGGGUACCAUGAUCAGCCCAAUCUAGGUUCCAUAACCUACCAAGCCAUGUGAAAUGGGAGGACUGUUCCCCAAGGGAGAGAUGGGUGCCAGGCAGACCAACACCAGACAUCCACUACAAAUAGUUGUAGCUUAUAACAUGCCAGGCAUGGUGCUGUUUUACAUACGUGAUCUCAUUUGAUUACUAAGCUGAUUCUACAAGAUUCCUGUGUAAGACAUUUGCCUUUCAUACAAAUGAAAAGUCACAACACAAUUUGUAACUGUGUCCUUUCUGCCAGCUCCAGUGCUGGGUUUGGGACACUCAGAAAAUAUGAUCUGGAAAUGAGAACACAGUUUCUUUGGAAAUAAACACUUCUCUUAGUAAGAGGACAUGUAAACCAAUGUUUUCAACUCUGGUUAUCUCUGUAUCAGCAGCUAAGAGGCCAAGACCAUAACUGUUGUUUAGUCUCUUGUAAAUGUUGUUUUAUGUUUCCAGUAGUUAAUUUUGGAUAAUUUAAAUUUCUCUACUAAGCUACCAUCUCUGUGAAUCUACACUGAAGGGAGGUAAGUCUCAUCAUGGAAGAUCAAAGGGACUCCCUUCCUAGUUCCAUCCAGCCGAGAACACACAUCCCUGGGGACAGCAUUGUAAAGGAUGGUCAGAUUACAUCGGGAUGAGGCAUGGGGUUCUCUCUGCAGGCAGAGGGUGUCUACCAUCAGGAGAUGUUUUCAUGGAUCCUUGGACUCUACUCCUCUCUGUUUUGUUUCCAUGACCAUUUCUUACCUGUAUUUCCUCCAAGCAGAAAUGGGCUUUGAGACUUGUUCAAAACUUUACCACUAAGAGAAAAUGGACUAUAACAGACCCUGAGUAACAUUGACCUAUGUACAGUACCAUGUGUAAAAUAGGUUGCUGGUGAGAAGUUGCUAUAUAACACAGGGAACCCAGCUUGGCACUGUGUGAUGACCUAGAGGGAUGGGAUGGGGGGAGGCUCAAGAGGGAGGUGAAAGUGAAGUUGCUCGGUCGUGUCUGACUCUUUGAGACCCCUUGGACUAUAGCCUACCAGGCUCCUCUGUCCAUGGGAUUCUCCAGGCAAGAAUACUGGAGUGGGUUGUCAUUUCCUUCUCCAGGAGACCUUCCCAACCUAGGGAUUGAACCCUGCAUUGUAGGCAGACGCUUUACCAUUUGAACCACCAGGGAAGAGGGAGGUGAUGUAUGUAUAAUUUGGCUGAUUUGAGUUGUUGUAUGGCAGAAACCAACACAACAUUGUAAAGCAAUUUUCCUCCAUUAAAAAGUAAAUUUAAAAAAAGAUUAAAAAUAAUAGACACUGGUCACCAUCUGCCCAAGUGAUCCUAUGUUCCACCAGGGGUGUGGCUCUUCAGGUGCCAAGAUUCUCUAGGGCUAAGAAUAGCCUCUCCAGUGUUCCUACUAGUUCACAACUUCAUGCAGUUUCAGACACAGCCUCUUAGGCUUGCCAUCACAUCUCGACUCCUAUCACAGUGGCUGGUACAAUAGGUGCCCAAUAAAUGAUUGUUGAAUAGAUGAAUUCCAUUCUCAAGUGAUGCCUCAGGUAACGAUUGAAAUUAGUUGGUGACAAUGAGCCAGGGUCAAUGUGCUGGCCACUGUAGUUAUAAGCAGAGGGGACCAUCUUUCUUAGUUUCAAGGACCCAAGUUUGUCAAAGACACACACUCCUGUUCAGUCCCGAGGGUCCUACUACUUUGGUUUCCAUCAAUGCAAAUACCAACUCUUUGGGUAAGUAUUUUCAUAAAUUCUCUAAUAUUCUGCUAUGUAUUUGUUUAGUAUAAACAUACUGGUCACAUACUUCAAAUUUAGGGCAAAGAAGCCAAAUGACCAGAAUUCAUCAGUUCUAUUUCCACUAGCAAGAGCCACUAGUUCUCCUUCCACUAGCAAGAGCAAGUAUUUACUGAGCACUUAAUAUGUGCCUGAUGCUUUUAUGCAUCAUCUCAUUUAACUUCAAGAAAAUACUAUGUAAAUGGUGCUAUAAACACAUCCAUUUUACCUAUGAGUAAUGUGAGGAUUGAAAACCCAUGGACAGAGGAGUCUGAUGGGCUACAAGUUCACAACCAUAAGGUCGCAAAGAGUUGGACACAACUGAGUGUGAUUGAACACACAAACACACAAUGUGGAGAUUCCAGGGGAUGAGUUCCCAGUUCAGUGCCACAUAAUCACAUGAUAAGUAUUGUGAACAAAGCUGUAAUCCAUCCAUCUGACUUCCAUGCUGGUGUUCUCUGUAGCAAAUCACUCUGUAGCCUUGCAAGUCAUUGAGCCUCACCUUUGUCUUCCUUGUAAUAGGUAUAAAAAUCAUCUCAUGGGAUAAAUAUUAUGUUGUGCCAUUGUGUAAACUGUGUAAAUGCUUCAUUCAUCAACAAACUUUGCAAACACCUGCUCUGGGCCAUUCACACAGUGAUGAAUGAGUAUGUCCUUGCCCUCAGGAGGCUCACAAUCUUAUGAGUAUCUCCACUGCUUAAUGAGACUCAAGGUUGUAUCUAUACUCCAGAGUCACCAUUGCCUUAUGACACCCCUGUUCCUCUGGAAGAAAGGCAAAGGUAAAAUUUAAGACUAAUGGUCAGACGCCUCCUACAUGUAAUGGUAUAACAGAAUGGUUAAUCAGUUCAAAUAGCUCCUUGCUUUCCUGACCACAUGACCCUCAGUAAAUUACUUGACCUCUUCAUGGCUCAGUUUCCUUGUUUUUAAUGAGGGUGAUGAGGUAACUUUUAAUAAUAAGUGUAAAGAGUUAAGUUCAAUGCCUGGCACAUAGCAAACAGGCAGGGGGAACAGCAAUGCUGGCCGCAGUGGGGACGAGUGUAUGAGCCUGGGAAAGGGGACUCUGUGGCCAUUGCCUGGAGGCAGGACAGACCCCUAGGAAAGGGGGAGGGAGACCACCCCUUCCUGAGAGAAUAGGGAGGGUGCCUUUGGAACCAAGCAUCAAUGCCUUUAGACA